CCUACUUAGGAGCAUCCCUUGUAGAUGCUGCCGCAAAAGAGUGCAGAACGAGACAGAAAAGUAGUUUUGUAACAUUAAUUUGUUUUUAUUAAGAAGACAGAUACUUUAUAGUACUUCUUUUUCUUUGUAAAAAUGGUAUACAUGAACCAAUACAAAAUGUGAAUGGGAAGAUAUGAAUAUGCGUUUUCUUACACUGCAACAUUGUCCAUGGACACCUUAAAACAGAAUCGGCCUAAGGGGGCAGAAGUAACGAAAUGUCACUGGCGGUGAGUAAAGAACAAGCUUAUUUGGCAUCAGUUAUGCAUCCCAUAUUUUUCUUGGCAACAUUCCUAUUUUGCUGUUGCUGAUGUUAUAAAAAAUAAACUCCCCAACCACAAAGCCCAAGAAAAAUCUCCAAGCUGCAAACCCCCGGGAAACAAGUUUGUUCUUUCUCCACUCUUAACAAAAUCCUUGUAAUCUAACCCUGUACAAAUCAAUACUUAACAAUACAUUUCAAACAGUGCACUGUAUACUUGCAGGGGGGCAGGGGGAAAGAAAAGUAAAAACCCUUUAAAACUUGAUAUACAACUAAAACCCAUCAGUUCCUGUUGUGGUUGCUCGUUGUGUUCUCUUCCAACGUGUGGGGCCAAAAACUUUUCGCGAUCUACCUGAGACGGAAAACACCAAUCAAAACACAUGAACCUGAGACAUGUCAACAUUAUUAAGUCAAAGUUACAUUGGGAACACUUGCACGACUGUACACUUUUCAAAACAAAGAUGAGCUGCUCAGGGAACGGUAUGCCAGUUCUGUGAUCAAUGGGUAGAAAAAAGCCUUUUAAAAUACAUCUAGAGAUGAUAUUCUCCCCUAAUAAAACUUGGCAUGUACGUAACAUGACUGCCGCUAAAAUUAAUCCUUCAAAUGCCUUAAUUCCGUAAUGAACUGAGGGGUUGCCUCAUGAGCUAGCCUCUUCUUAAUGCCAACCCUUUAUCUGGUGCCUCAUUAAAAAAAAUAAAAAUCCUGAUUCACAUCACACGUCGCUUUCUCCUUUUGGUAAAAGAGUUUAGAAGCAGCGUAUUAUCC
rnacentral:lncRNA from 1 species